UACGAAGGGUGCAAACGUUGCUCGGAAUCAUUGGGCGUAAAGCGCACGUAGGCGGCUUGCCAAGUCGGACGUGAAAUCCCUCAGCUCAACUGAGGACGUGCAUCCGAAACUGGCGAGCUUGAGUGCUGAAGAGGAUCGCGGAAUUCCCGGUGUAGAGGUGAAAUGCGCAGAUAUCAGGAGGAACACCGGUGGCGAAGGCGGGACUCUGGGCCGAUACUGACGCUGAGGAGCGAAAGCGUGGGGAGCAAACAGG
rnacentral:rRNA from 1 species